CAUAUUAAAGUUUGUUUUGAAUUUUUCUGUUACAAUGAAAGGGGCUUAGGUUAUUAAGUAGUAUGAAGA
rnacentral:tRNA from 1 species